rnacentral:tRNA from 1 species
GCCGGGGUGGCGGAACAGGCAGACGCAACGGACUUAAAAUCCGUCGGGAUUGGAAAACCGUACCGGUUCGAUUCCGGUCCUCGGCACCA